GAGCUGUUUCCCUGGAGGUUUGUCCUCGCCAAAGAGGAGAGGCGGCGAGUGGGGCUCGCGUUGCACAGUGGGGGUUGUAGUUCAGGUUCGGGUAGAGCAUACACAGAAGAGACCAAUAGCGAACUACAAGACCCAGAUAUCGUCAGGCUCUGCCCACCCUCUCCUCCAGCUUCUGCCCCUUGUUGAAAGCUCAUAAGAUUCGAAACUAAGAAAAUUUAACAGGACUGAUGAGCUUCUCCCUCCUCAGGUGACACAGCCCAUCUGCAGUUGUUGUGAGAGGAGAAUCUUCAGGGCGGCUGCCUGCAAACGUUCAGGGAACUGUGGUAACACAAGGCAGCUUGCAUAAGUCAGUGCUGUGCUAUGUGUGCCUUACUGUGCUAUGUGCACUUUUUGGUGACACAGCUGCCUGAGUCACUCGUGCUCCUUUGUUGAAGGAGAGAGAAAGGGAGAGGGAGAGGGAGAGGGAGAGGGAGAGGGGAGAGGGGAGAGGGGAGAGGGGAGAGGGGGGGUGUUCUGUAGGGACAUUAAAUGAGCAGGCAC
rnacentral:lncRNA from 1 species